AGUGAACGCUGGCGGUAGGCCUAACACAUGCAAGUCGAACGGCAGCACAGUAAGAGCUUGCUCUUACGGGUGGCGAGUGGCGGACGGGUGAGGAAUACAUCGGAAUCUACUUUUUCGUGGGGGAUAACGUAGGGAAACUUACGCUAAUACCGCAUACGACCUACGGGUGAAAGCAGGGGAUCUUCGGACCUUGCGCGAUUGAAUGAGCCGAUGUCGGAUUAGCUAGUUGGCGGGGUAAAGGCCCGCCAAGGCGACGAUCCGUAGCUGGUCUGAGAGGAUGAUCAGCCACACUGGAACUGAGACACGGUCCAGACUCCUACGGGAGGCAGCAGUGGGGAAUAUUGGACAAUGGGCGCAAGCCUGAUCCAGCCAUACCGCGUGGGUGAAGAAGGCCUUCGGGUUGUAAAGCCCUUUUGUUGGGAAAGAAAAGCAGCAGGUUAAUACCCCGCUGCUCUGACGGUACCCAAAGAAUAAGCACCGGCUAACUUCGUG
rnacentral:rRNA from 1 species